rnacentral:rRNA from 1 species
AGCGAACGCUGGCGGCAGGCUUAACACAUGCAAGUCGAGCGGGCAUCCUUGUGGUGUCAGCGGCAGACGGGUGAGUAACGCGUGGGAACGUGCCCUUCGGUUCGGAAUAACUCAGGGAAACUUGAGCUAAUACCGGAUACGUGCGAGAGCAGAAAGGUUUAUCUGCCGAAGGGUCGGCCCGCGUCUGAUUAGCUAGUUGGUGAGGUUACGGCUCACCAAGGCGACGAUCAGUAGCUGGUCUGAGAGGAUGAUCAGCCACACUGGGACUGAGACACGGCCCAGACUCCUACGGGAGGCAGCAGUGGGGAAUAUUGGACAAUGGGGGCAACCCUGAUACAGCCAUGCCGCGUGAGUGAUGACGGCCUUAGGGUUGUAAAGCUCUUUUCUCCGGGACGAUAAUGACGGUACCGGAGGAAUAAGCCCCGGCUAACUUCGUG